AUAUAUCUUGGUUCAAGCCUGUAGUCGUGCCUGGUAGGCAAAUCCGCCGGGCUUAGAUGAGGGGUGAUAACGAGGCGGCUUGCCGCCGAAGUGAGUGAUACCCUGCUUCCAGGAAAAGCCACUAAGCUUCAGCUAUAGACGACCGUACCGCAAACCGACACUGGUGCGCGAGAUGAGUAUUCUAAGGCGCUUGAGAGAACUCUGGAGAAGGAACUCGGCAGAUUGACACCGUAACUUCGGAAGAAGGUGUGCCUUUAGUAGGUGAACCAUUUACUUGGCGAGCCCAAUGAGGUUGCAAGAAAUCGGUGGCUGCGACUGUUUAUUAAAAACACAGCACUCUGCAAAGACGAAAGUCGACGUAUAGGGUGUGACGCCUGCCCGGUGCUGGAAGAUUAAAUGAUGGGGUGCAAGCUCUUGAUUGAAGUCCCAGUAAACGGCGGCCGUAACAAUAACGGUCCUAAGGUAGCGAAAUUCCUUGUCGGGUAAGUUCCGACCUGCACGAAUGGCGUAACGAUGGCCACUCUGUCUCCUCCAGAGACUCAGCGAAGUUGAAAUGUUUGUGAUGAUGCAAUCUCCCCGCGGAAAGACGGAAAGACCCCAUGAACCUUUACUGUAGCUUUACAUUGGACUUUGAACAGAUCUGUGUAGGAUAGGUGGGAGGCUUUGAAGCGGUGCCGCUAGGUGUCGUGGAGCCAACCCUGAAAUACCACCCUGGUGUGUUUGAGGUUCUAACCUUGACCCGUUAUCCGGGUUGGGGACAGUGUAUGGUGGGCAGUUUGACUGGGGCGGUCUCCUCCUAAAGCGUAACGGAGGAGUUCGAAGGUACGCUAGGCACGGUCGGAAAUCGUGCUGAUAGUGCAUAGGCAUAAGCGUGCUUGACUGCGAGACUGACAAGUCGAGCAGGUACGAAAGUAGGACUAAGUGAUCCGGUGGUUCUGUAUGGAAGGGCCAUCGCUCAACGGAUAAAAGGUACUCUGGGGAUAACAGGCUGAUACCGCCCAAGAGUUCAUAUCGACGGCGGUGUUUGGCACCUCGAUGUCGGCUCAUCUCAUCCUGGGGCUGUAGCCGGUCCCAAGGGUAUGGCUGUUCGCCAUUUAAAGAGGUACGUGAGCUGGGUUUAAAACGUCGUGAGACAGUUUGGUCCCUAUCUUCCGUGGGCGCUGCAAGAUUGAGAGAGCCUGCUCCUAGUACGAGAGGACCGGAGUGGACGCACCUCUGGUGUAUCGGUUGUCACGCCAGUGGCAUUGCCGAGUAGCUAAGUGCGGAAGAGAUAACCGCUGAAAGCAUCUAAGCGGGAAACUCGUCUCAAGAUGAGUCUUGCCGGGGCCUUGAGCCCCCUGAAGAGUCGUUCGAGACCAGGACGUUGAUAGGCCGGGUGUGGAAGCGCAGUAAUGCGUUGAGCUAACCGGUACUAAUUGCUCGUGCGGCUUGACCCC
rnacentral:rRNA from 1 species